CCUGGUGGCUCAGAGGUUAAAGCGUCUGCCUGCAAUGUGGGAGACCAGGGUUCAAUCCCUGGGUCAGGA
rnacentral:tRNA from 1 species